GACGUAGGUGGCGAACGUUAUCCGGAAUUAUUGGGCGUAAAGGGUGCGUAGGCGGCAUGAUAAGUUAUUGGCGGUAAAUCGAGGCUCAACCUCGUGGAAACUGAUAAUACUGUUUUGCUUGAGUACAGGGAGAGGUUAACGGAACUCCAUGUGGAGCGGUAAAAUGUGUAGAUAUAUGGAAGAACAUCAAUAACGGCGAAGGCAGUUAACUAUCCUGUUACUGAACGUGAGGGCACGAAAGCGAUGGGGAGCAAAAAGGAGUUAGAAAACCC
rnacentral:rRNA from 1 species